rnacentral:rRNA from 1 species
GACGAACCGUACAAACGUUACUCGGAAUUACUGGGCUUAAAGGGUGCGUAGGCUGCGCAGAAAGUUGGGUGUGAAAGCCCUCGGCUCAACCGGGGAAUUGCAUCCAAAACUACUGUGCUCGAGGGAGACAGAGGUGAGCGGAACUCAAGGUGGAGCGGUGAAAUGCGUUGAUAUCUUGAGGAACACCGGUGGCGAAAGCGGCUCACUGGGAUCUUUCUGACGCUGAGGCACGAAAGCUAGGGGAGCGAACGGGAUUAGAUACCCGCGUA